rnacentral:misc_RNA from 1 species
UUUUGUCAUGUGAAAUUCGUUUGAUAAGUGAUACUGAGAGUGAGAAGGGCUAUUCUAAUUGUAUUUAGCAUUUGCUUUGUUAUUAUAAAAAAAUUAAUAGUACUUUGUUGUUAUUGAAAAAUAGCGUAAUGUCAGAUUUGUAUUUUAACAUCGAAAGUGGUUACCUAGAAGGUUUGGUUAGAGGGUUCAAAUCAGGAAUCCUGAAGCAUACAGAGUACUUAAAUCUUGUUCAAUGUGAAACUUUAGAAGAUCUUAAGUUGCAUCUGCAAAGUACUGACUAUGGUAACUUUCUGGCCAAUGAACCGAGUCCUCUUACAGUAUCAGUUAUUGAUGAUAAACUUCGAGAGAAAUUGGUAAUAGAGUUUCGACAUUUGAGAAACCAUUCAGUGGAACCAUUGUCAACAUUCUUAGACUUUAUCACAUACAGUUACAUGAUUGACAACAUAAUCUUGCUGAUCACAGGUACUCUUCACCAAAGACCAAUAUCUGAGCUUAUUUCUAAGUGUAAUCCACUUGGGAGCUUUGAUCAGAUGGAAGCCAUUCAUAUUGCUUCAACACCAGCUGAGCUAUACAAUGCUGUUUUAGUAGACACACCACUUGCUCCAUUUUUUGUGGAUUGUAUUUCUGAGCAAGAUCUGGAUGAAUUGAACAUUGAAAUUAUCAGAAACACACUAUACAAGGCUUAUUUGGAGGACUUCUACAAAUUCUGUGAGAAGACAGGAGGAACAACAGCAGAUGUCAUGUGUGACAUUUUAGCUUUUGAGGCUGAUCGUCGAGCAUUCAUCAUCACCAUCAAUUCAUUUGGCACAGAGCUAACUAAAGAAGAUCGUUCAAAGCUCUACCCUCGUUGUGGAAAGCUUUAUCCAGAUGGUUUGGCUGCUUUGGCCAAGGCUGAUGACUAUGAACAAGUUAAAAUUAUUGCAGAGCAUUAUGCUGAAUAUCGAGCACUAUUUGAAGGAUCAGGUAACAAUCCAGGAGAGAAAACUUUAGAAGACAAGUUUUUUGAACAUGAGGUCAAACUGAAUGUGAAUGCUUUUCUCCAACAAUUCCACUUUGGAGUUUUUUAUGCAUAUGUCAAAUUGAAGGAGCAGGAAUGCCGAAACAUUGUAUGGAUUUCAGAAUGUGUGGCUCAGCAUCACAGGGCUAAAAUUGAUAAUUACAUUCCUAUUUUAUGAUUGAUAAGUCUGACUUUCAUGGAUAUUUAUAUGUACCUAAUGUGAUCAUGUGAUUGCUCUAAACUACAUUUUAUUUGUAACUUUGAUAUUUAAGUGAAGUAUUGGUGAGAUGAAUACUUCAGAGAUUAUAAAUAACAUGAUGUGUGCAUAUUUAUGCUUUUUGUUUAAGUUUAUUAAAGUCAUCUGAUUUGCAAAAUUUAUCACCUUGGAAAAUAUAUCCAUUUCACCAGAGAGUUUUAUUUUAUUUUUCAUGGAAAGAUAAACGAACUUGUAACAGAAAACAUUUUAGUUAAUGUAAAGUUUAAAACUAACAUUGUUCCCACCUUGCUAUUUUAACAACAUUAUACUUAUUAUUAUCCAAAUGAUCAUGCUUGCCUCUGAAGGAAUUACUGGAAGAAACAGUUGUUUUCACUAUGAUUUAUAUGAAACAAAACUAGACAUCAAACAUGUAUUCUUAUUUGUAUAGUAAUUAAGUAUUUAAGGGUUUUUUGUAUAGUUUUUGUAUUUGUUUAACUUUGCUGCAAAGGAUACGAGUUUUUGUUAUGUGAAGUAUGAGAUAUUAGUGAGAAUAAAAUUUGAAGCACAUGCAUCAUUAUAAAUACCUAAAUUGAAGUAUUUUGCUGAUUGUUUAAUAUUUGCUUCUUUUGAAGAAUCAGAAGCAUCUCUUUUUACCCAUAUCUCAUUUUCAGCUUUACAGAUUAUUUGAGAUUGUACCACAUCACAUUCACCUAGCACAUUUCAAGCAUGGAAUAUUUUGUAACAGCUUAAAUGAAGUGAGGCUAUAGUAACUGACCUAUUAUUAUUAAUUUUUACGUGUUACCUUCCAUAACAAAAAGAAUGAGGUGUAGAUGUUAAACAUACAAAUAAAAUUCCUUUUUUUUAUAGUUGCAUUGCAUGAUCUUUAUGUACCACUGCAAAACAUUGGUAAAAACACUCAAAUCCUAGAGAUAUAAAAUAGUGAACACUUUCUGUUCAAAAAUUUCAAGGUAUUAGUGUAAAAUUUUGCAUUAAGAAAGUUGCUUUUGUUAAAAAAUUGGAUUCGUGUAUAUCCAAGAACAUUUUAAUAUUACUUACAUAUAAAGAAAUCCAUGUAAAUUAAAGUUUACUUUAAUAUUUUCAAUAAUCAUAUUUAGAUCGCAUUAGGAAAGUGUAGUUCCAUACCCUUUGAACUUGAAAUUUACAUGAUUGUUGGCUGAUGUUAUUGUAUCUUAUGAAAAGGAAGUGAUUUAGUCCUGUAUAAACCUAUUUCUCCAUAUGAAGUUGUAGUAUGUAUUAAAAUUACAAAAUAAAUUUAGUCCUGUCAUUAUU